UAUUUAAAGGAGUUCACGGGCAAGUUAGCCGGCGGGUGGCGAAUCAGUUCUUGCAAUAAGGUAACGAUCACAUCGACUGGAGGACUGGAGUUUAGAACUCGACUUACCUAACACUUACGCGGGUAUCCAAAAGUUUCAGUAGAUAGUAGUGACGAAUUACAUAAAUUCAAGCUUAAUUAGGUCUAACAAACAGCCAAGAACUAAAGAACGCAAAGAUUAAGUAUAAUCUGAUCAUCAAGUGUUGGAACAUUCACUGAAGAGAUUAAGAAGGAGAAGUAGAAUUGUUGCAAUAAAUCUUGUACAAACUAGUCACGAUUAUUCUCAAGAGCAUUAUCUGCAGUGACUAUCCUUCAACAGACGCCUCAGCUACAAAGAAACAGAACAUGGGCCCCAAUCAUCUGUCUUGGAUCUAUCAAGUUUCAGAGCUAACCUUUGUCUUGGUGUUUUGUAUGCUCCUACUUCUUCCUGUCUCCUCAGCCUACAGUCUACAAGAAAGCGAUGUGCCUACAUAUAAAGAAAAAAGAGAUACGCCCAACCGAGAAAACAGAAACGGAUUGAAAUUGGGAAGCGGGGUAGGGUUGUCACCCUUUCAUU